rnacentral:rRNA from 1 species
CUACGGGGUGCUGCAGUGAGGAAUAUUGCACAAUGGGGGGAACCCUGAUGCAGCAACGCCGCGUGGAGGAUGACGCAUUUCGGUGUGUAAACUCCUUUUAUAUGUCAAGAAAAUGACGGUAGCAUAUGAAUAAGCACCGGCUAACUCCGUGCCAGCAGCCGCGGUAAUACGGAGGGUGCAAGCGUUACUCGGAAUCACUGGGCGUAAAGUACGCGUAGGCGGGUUGGAAAGUCAGGUGUGAAAUCCUACAGCUUAACUGUAGAACUGCACUUGAAACUUCUAAUCUAGAGUAUGGGAGGGGGAGAUGGAAUUAGUGGUGUAGGGGUAAGAUCCGUAGAUAUCACUAGGAAUACCUAAAGCGAAGGCGAUCUCCUGGAACAUUACUGACGCUAAGGCGUGAAAGCGUGGGGAGCAAACAGGAUUAGAUACCCUCGUAGUC